rnacentral:lncRNA from 1 species
CCAUCAUUCAUGUCAACAUCCAUAAGCAUCACUCAGGUCAACAUCUAUGAGCAUCACUCAUGUCAAUCAACAUAAACAUUCAUGAGCAUCACUCAUGUCAAUCAGCUUAGAAAGCUUCAUGUAUAGAGCUCUAGCUUCGAGAGCUCCAGCUUCGAAAGCUUCAUUUACGAAGCUCUGACUUCAAAGCUGUAUUUACAAAAGCUCCAGCUUCAAAGCUUUACUUUCAAAGCUACACCUACAAAGCUUCAGUGCAUGGUAUACAAAGACU